rnacentral:rRNA from 1 species
GAGGAAUAUUGGUCAAUGGGCGAGAGCCUGAACCAGCCAAAUCGCGUGAAGGAAGAAGGUAUUAUGUAUUGUAAACUUCUUUUGUCGGGGGAUAAAAAGGGGCUCGUGAGCCCUGUUGCAUGUACCCGACGAAUAAGGAUCGGCUAACUCCGUGCCAGCAGCCGCGGUAAUACGGAGGAUCCGAGCGUUAUCCGGAUUUAUUGGGUUUAAAGGGUGCGUAGGCGGCUUGUUAAGUCAGUGGUGAAAGUCCAAGGCUCAACCUUGGAAUUGCCAUUGAAACUGGCAUGCUUGAGUACAGUAGAGGUAGGCGGAAUUCGUGGUGUAGCGGUGAAAUGCUUAGAUAUCACGAAGAACUCCGAUUGCGAAGGCAGCUUACUGGAGUGUAACUGACGCUGAGGCACGAAAGUGUGGGGAUCAAAC